AAGCUGGUUGAUAGUAUCUCUUCCCUUCUCUUUUGUCUUUCUUCUUCUGUGAUACCCAACAAAUACCGCAACAAACUGAAAAAGCAAUAAAUACGACAAUCAGCACUUAUGAUUGUAUAAACAAGGGGAACAAGAGCAGACAGAGAAUGCAGUUCCCUAAAACUUGUAGGCACACGGCAUUUCCCAGCUUGUACCAGUAUGUUUAAUUUUCAAAACAAGUCCAUUCACCAAACCAGAAAAGGAGAAACAAUAAAGGUCUCAGGUUCAACCAAAAUAAGGACAUGAUUAAUUGUGAUUGAAUUGAAUACUUAUUUGUUGAAUAUACAACAAUUUACUAAAAGUUAAUAAAAGCUUGUAAUGCUUUGCAUGUAGUUUUAAGAGUUGAGGGAAAGGGAGGAAAUCUUUUAAAGGAAUUGCAAGGAAAGGAAAGCAAUGAAACAAUUAACCUCAACUUUUUUUUCAGGGGUUCUAGAUGGUUUGGGAGA
rnacentral:misc_RNA from 1 species